rfam:Triticum aestivum genome assembly, contig: Triticum_aestivum_CS42_TGACv1_scaffold_031712_1BL
CAAGUACUCCCUCCGUCCGGAAAUACUUGUCCUCAAAAUGGAUAAAAUGAAUGUAUCUAUAACUAAAAUAAGUCUAGAUACAACCAUUCCAAAGACAAGUAUUUUCGGACGGAGGUAGUACUAC